AGGGAAUACUGCUGGAGACACCUGUCCUGUGAUUCUACAGGCUGGACAGAUUCUUCCUUUGAGGACUAUGCACUGUACACCCUGGGAUGUGAUGUUCUUUCCGGCCUUGACAAUGACUCUGAACAUGAAACCUCAGUUGUGAAGGAAUGGGUAUCCUGCUGUGAUGGUGAAUGGGAAGCAGCAUCAGAGGUGAAGGACAAGUACUUUUGAACUGGAAAUGAGCUGUGCUCCUGAGAACAUCAGUAGGGUGAAGAGUUCAACAAAGCUGUAAUUCAACAUUUUGAUGUAUUUGGAACCAAGAUCAAUAAAGAACUUGUUAAGUGUUUCACUAGA